GCUACCUCGNGCCCUCNGAUAUACCUNNAGNGAGUGUAUUUAAUUUGAUUCUGGCUCAGGAUAAACGCUGGCGGCGUGCCUAACACAUGCAAGUCGAACGUCCUCUGUCUCCGCAAGGAGAGAGAGGGAGUGGCGGACGGGUGAGUAACACAGAGGUGACCUACCCUUCAGUGAGGAAUACCGGCGAGAAAUCGCCGACAAGACCGCAUGCGCUUGCCUUUCAUCAAGGAAGAGCAAGCAAAGUCUCUUUCGGGAGACGCUGAAGGAGGGGCCUAUGGCCGAUUAGCUAGUUGGUGAGGUAAAGGCUCACCAAGGCGACGAUCGGUAGCUGGUCUGAGAGGACGAGCAGCCACACUGGGAUUGAGAACGGCCCAGACUCCUACGGGGGGCAGCAGUGAGGAAUUUUCCGCAAUGGGGGCAACCCUGACGGAGCAACGCCGCGUGCAGGAAGACGGUCUUCGGAUCGUAAACUGCUUUUCGUGAGGACGAGAUAGGGACGGUACUCACGGAAGAAGCCCCGGCUAACUACGUGCCAGCAGCCGCGGUAAGACGUAGGGGGCAAGCGUUGUCCGGAGUUACUGGGCGUAAAGGGCACGCAGGCGGUCGUGCACGUUUGGGGUGACAGUGCCUGGCUUAACUGGGCAAGGACCUCGAAGACGGCAUGACUUGAGGGGUUCAGAGGGACCGAGAAUUCCGGGUGGAGUGGUGAAAUGCGUAGAGAUCCGGAGGAAUACCCAUGGCGAAGGCAUGGUCCUGGGAACCACCUGACGCUCAGGUGCGAAAGCGAGGGGAGCGAACGGGAUUAGAUACCCCGGUAGUCCUCGCCGUAAACGAUGACCACUAGAUGUGGGAGGUAUCGACCCCUUCCGCGUCGUCGUUAACACAGUAAGUGGUCCGCCUGGGGAGUACGGUCGCAAGAUUAAAACUCAAAGGAAUUGACGGGGACCCGCACAAGCAGCGAAGCGUGUGGUUUAAUUCGAAGCAACGCGCAGAACCUUACCAGGGUUUGACAUGGACGUGCACCAGCCGUAAAGGGCUGUCCCGCAAGGGCGCGUUCACAGGUGCUGCAUGGCUGUCGUCAGCUCGUGCCGUGAGGUGUUGGGUUAAGUCCCGCAACGAGCGCAACCCCUGUCGUCGGUUAUGGGUGUCCGACGAGACUGCCUCGAGUAACGGGGAGGAAGGUGGGGAUGACGUCAAGUCAGCACGGCCCUGACAUCCUGGGCUACACACACGCUACAAUGGCCGCGACAACGAGUUGCCAACCCGUGAGGGGGAGCCAAUCUCACCAAACGCGGUCUCAGUUCGGAUGGCAGGCUGCAACCCGCCUGCCUGAAGCCGAAGUUGCUAGUAACCGUGGGUCAGCACACCACGGUGAAUACGUUCCCGGGUCUUGUACACACCGCCCGUCACACCACGAAAGUCGGCAACCCCUGAAGCCGCCGGGCUAACCCUUUGCGGGAGGCAGGCGUCGAGGGUGGGGUCGGUGAUUGGGGUGAAGUCGUAACAAGGUAAC
rnacentral:rRNA from 1 species